rnacentral:rRNA from 1 species
ACUCCUACGGAAGGCAGCAGUGGGGAAUUUUGGACAAUGGGCGAAAGCCUGAUCCAGCCAUGCCGCGUGAGUGAAGAAGGCCUUCGGGUUGUAAAGCUCUUCAGGUGGAAAGAAAACGCAUAGGUUAAUACCUUGUGCGGAUGACGGUACCAUCAGAAGAAGCACCGGCUAACUACGUGCCAGCAGCCGCGGUAAU